GUGAAUCAUCGAAUUUUUGAACGCAAAUUGCGCUUCCUGGCAUCCCGGGAAGCAUGCCUGUUUGAGGAUCAGUAUUUCUAAAAACUCGGUUUAGUUACAAAUUGUGACGUUUCUGGAGUUUGCGCUGUCUUAACGUUUUUGGUUAAGAUGCUUAAAAUUGACCUUUUUUGCGCUUUUUUACACGUACAUAAAUUUUUUUAUUCGUCUAUUCUUAAUGCCAAAAUCUUAUUAGAUGCUACCAC
rnacentral:misc_RNA from 1 species